rnacentral:lncRNA from 1 species
GAGGUGUCUUGAGAUUAUCAUCCGCUGAGGGUGGAGCUGAGGGUGGAAGGGGAGUGAGCAGACACUCGGGAGGUGUCUUGAGAUUAUCAUCCGCUGAGGGUGGAAGGGGAUAGAGCAGGCACUCGGCAGGUGUCUUGAGAUUAUCAUCCGCUGAGGGUAGAGCUGAGGGUGGAAGGGGAGUGAGCAGACACUCGGGAGGUGUCUUGAGAUUAUCAUCCGCUGAGGGUAGAGCUGAGGGUGGAAGGGGAGUGAGCAGACACUCGGGAGGUGUCUUGAGAUUAUCAUCCGCUGAGGGUGG